GAUGAACGCUGGCGGCGUGCCUAAUACAUGCAAGUCGAGCGAACAGACGAGAAGCUUGCUCCUCUGACGUUAGCGGCGGACGGGUGAGUAACACGUGGAUAACCUACCUAUAAGACUGGGAUAACUUCGGGAAACCGGAGCUAAUACCGGAUAAUAUAUUGAACCGCAUGGUUCAAUAGUGAAAGACGGUCUUGCUGUCACUUAUAGAUGGAUCCGCGCCGCAUUAGCUAGUUGGUAAGGUAACGGCUUACCAAGGCAACGAUGCGUAGCCGACCUGAGAGGGUGAUCGGCCACACUGGAACUGAGACACGGUCCAGACUCCUACGGGAGGCAGCAGUAGGGAAUCUUCCGCAAUGGGCGAAAGCCUGACGGAGCAACGCCGCGUGAGUGAUGAAGGUCUUCGGAUCGUAAAACUCUGUUAUUAGGGAAGAACAAAUGUGUAAGUAACUAUGCACAUCUUGACGGUACCUAAUCAGAAAGCCACGGCUAACUACGUG
rnacentral:rRNA from 1 species